rnacentral:tRNA from 1 species
AAAAUCCGUCGACUUUAAAAUUGG